GCAGUCGACGCGUUGGCCCAAUUGAUUGAUGGUGCUUGCACCUGAUUGAUUUUGGUCGCCAACGAGUGGCGGACGGGUGAGUAACACGUAGGUAACCUGCCCAGAAGCGGGGGACAACAUUUGGAAACAGAUGCUAAUACCGCAUAACAGCGUUGUUCGCAUGAACAACGCUUAAAAGAUGGCUUCUCGCUAUCACUUCUGGAUGGACCUGCGGUGCAUUAGCUUGUUGGUGGGGUAACGGCCUACCAAGGCGAUGAUGCAUAGCCGAGUUGAGAGACUGAUCGGCCACAAUGGGACUGAGACACGGCCCAUACUCCUACGGGAGGCAGCAGUAGGGAAUCUUCCACAAUGGGCGCAAGCCUGAUGGAGCAACACCGCGUGAGUGAAGAAGGGUUUCGGCUCGUAAAGCUCUGUUGUUAAAGAAGAACACGUAUGAGAGUAACUGUUCAUACGUUGACGGUAUUUAACCAGAAAGUCACGGCUAACUACGUGCCAGCAGCCGCGGUAAUACGUAGGUGGCAAGCGUUAUCCGGAUUUAUUGGGCGUAAAGAGAGUGCAGGCGGUUUUCUAAGUCUGAUGUGAAAGCCUUCGGCUUAACCGGAGAAGUGCAUCGGAAACUGGAUAACUUGAGUGCAGAAGAGGGUAGUGGAACUCCAUGUGUAGCGGUGGAAUGCGUAGAUAUAUGGAAGAACACCAGUGGCGAAGGCGGCUACCUGGUCUGCAACUGACGCUGAGACUCGAAAGCAUGGGUAGCGAACAGGAUUAGAUACCCUGGUAGUCCAUGCCGUAAACGAUGAGUGCUAGGUGUUGGAGGGUUUCCGCCCUUCAGUGCCGGAGCUAACGCAUUAAGCACUCCGCCUGGGGAGUACGACCGCAAGGUUGAAACUCAAAGGAAUUGACGGGGGCCCGCACAAGCGGUGGAGCAUGUGGUUUAAUUCGAAGCUACGCGAAGAACCUUACCAGGUCUUGACAUCUUGCGCCAACCCUAGAGAUAGGGCGUUUCCUUCGGGAACGCAAUGACAGGUGGUGCAUGGUCGUCGUCAGCUCGUGUCGUGAGAUGUUGGGUUAAGUCCCGCAACGAGCGCAACCCUUGUUACUAGUUGCCAGCAUUAAGUUGGGCACUCUAGUGAGACUGCCGGUGACAAACCGGAGGAAGGUGGGGACGACGUCAGAUCAUCAUGCCCCUUAUGACCUGGGCUACACACGUGCUACAAUGGACGGUACAACGAGUCGCGAACUCGCGAGGGCAAGCAAAUCUCUUAAAACCGUUCUCAGUUCGGACUGCAGGCUGCAACUCGCCUGCACGAAGUCGGAAUCGCUAGUAAUCGCGGAUCAGCAUGCCGCGGUGAAUACGUUCCCGGGCCUUGUACACACCGCCCGUCACACCAUGAGAGUUUGUAACACCCAAAGUCGGU
rnacentral:rRNA from 2 species